rnacentral:lncRNA from 1 species
UCGGCAUAAAAUAUUACUUAUAGUCAAAUUUCGCACCAUAAGACUUUAUUAGAUUAUUAUGACUUAUUAUUUCUCUAUCAUAUGCCCAAACACAUAAUAUACUUCAUUGAAUAUCAAUUUCAACAAUUACAUUGAAAAAUAUCAUAAAUCUCUUAUUAAAUCUCCCGUCGAAUAUUAUUAAUUAUGCAAUAAUAUUUUACGCUAAGGUUAUCAACCUUUUAAUAACAUUCCAAUCAAAUACUACUAAUAAUAUCUCAAUACAAUAUUAUUAGUCAUAUAAAAAUAACUUAAGUCAUUAAUCACAUAAAUAAACAAUUAUUUCAAUUGUUUUCCUUACCGUAAUUAAUAAACUUGUUUAAACAUUUUAAAAUGUCAUAAACAUCACAACACCUUAAACCCGACCCAAAACUUCAUUACAAACUUGCAUAAGCCAUGCUCACGGGUCUCACUUCAUACAUCGCAUUUUUCCUAUUUUUGGACACUUUUGAUUUUCGAAAUAUUUUACCCAGCCUCACUAAAACAGCCAUAACUCUCGCGUUUUAAAACAUUUUUGAGCGAUUCUUGAGCCCACGCGAAGAUAACUUCCAGGGCUACAACUUUUGUCUCACGACAUUUUUCCAAAAUCAGAACACAACAGUCCAAAAAUUUACAUCAAGAAGGCUGUUCGGAAAUUGAGGAACAGUUUUGCUACGCACCUUCCGAACGCCAUAACUACCUCAUCCGGAGUCGGAAUUAGUCCGUUCCGGAGUCUAUGGAAAGCUAAAACAGAAUACUACAACAUAUCAAAAGCCCAAAAUUUUAAAACACAAAAACUGGACGAAAUUGCCCCUGACAUUGACUGCCCCGAAACUGUCCAUUUUUUGUUAGAAAAACGGGACUGUUUUGGCUUAAAUAAUUAUUACACC